rnacentral:rRNA from 1 species
ACGCCGCGUGAGUGAAGAAGGUUUUCGGAUCGUAAAACUCUGUUGNUANAGAAGAACAAGGACGUUAGUAACUGAACGUCCCCUGACGGUAUCUAACCAGAAAGCCACGGCUAACUACGUGCCAGCAGCCGCGGUAAUACGUAGGUGGCAAGCGUUGUCCGGAUUUAUUGGGCGUAAAGCGAGCGCAGGCGGUUUCUUAAGUCUGAUGUGAAAGCCCCCGGCUCAACCGGGGAGGGUCAUUGGAAACUGGGAGACUUGAGUGCAGAAGAGGAGAGUGGAAUUCCAUGUGUAGCGGUGAAAUGCGUAGAUAUAUGGAGGAACACCAGUGGCGAAGGCGGCUCUCUGGUCUGUAACUGACGCUGAGGCUCGAAAGCGUGGGGAGCAAACAGGAUUAGAUACCCUGGUAGUCCACGCCGUAAACGAUGAGUGCUAAGUGUUGGAGGGUUUCCGCCCUUCAGUGCUGCAGCAAACGCAUUAAGCACUCCGCCUGGGGAGUACGACCGCAAGGUUGAAACUCAAAGGAAUUGACGGA